AUUGUAGGCUGAAACUCGCCUACAUGAAGCUGGAGUUACUAGUAAUCGCAGAUCAGAAUGCUGCGGUGAAUGCGUUCCCGGGUCUUGUACACACCGCCCGUCACACCACGGAAGUUGGGGCGCCCGAAGCCACUUAGCUAACCCUUUUGGGAAGCGAGUGUCGAAGGUGAAAUCAAUAACUGGGGUGAAGUCGUAACAAGGUAAC
rnacentral:rRNA from 1 species